GUGGGUACCUGCCCCUUGGUCCGGAAUAGCUGCGGGAAACUGCAGGUAAUGCCGGAUAACAUCCUCGGAUCAAAGGUGUGAUUCCGCCGAGGGAGGGGCCCGCGUUCUAUUAGCUAGUUGGUAGGGUAAUGGCCUACCAAGGCGACAAUGGAUACCGGGUGUGAGAGCAUGACCCGGCUCACUGGGACUGAGACACUGCCCAGACACCUACGGGUGGCUGCAGUCGAGAAUCUUCGGCAAUGGGCGCAAGCCUGACCGAGCGACGCCGCGUGCGGGAUGAAGGCCUUCGGGUUGUAAACCGCUGUCAGUGGGGAGGAAAUGCCAUGGGGUUCUCUCCAUGGUUUGACCUAUCCGCAGAGGAAGGACGGGCUAAGUUCGUGCCAGCAGCCGCGGUAAGACGAACCGUCCAAACGUUAUUCGGAAUUAUUGGGCUUAAAGGGUGCGUAGGCUGUGCAGUAAGUUGGGUGUGAAAUCCCUCGGCUCAACCGAGGAACUGCGCCGAAUACUGCUGUGCUA
rnacentral:rRNA from 1 species